CCGGGCGAAAGCAAUAACGCGGUAAUGAGAGUGCUAAGGAGGGCUGCGGGGGGGCGGCGCUGACAGCCGGGCCCCGCCGAGCCCCCCCCCGGUGCUGCCCCCGGGGACACCCGUGGGAGCCUUUGUCCCCCCCCGGGCCCGGGGCUGGGGGCACCCGGGGGCACCCCCGUCUGCGCAGUUGGCCCCCGAAGAGGUUUCGGUGCGGUGGGUCCGGCUGGGGAGCCGCUGCCCCGGUGGCAGCUCGCCGGGGUUUUUGCCAAACGCGUCAGCCGCGAGGCUCCGGUGCCGGUGUGCUGGGGGGGCCGUGCACGCACCCGGCAGUGCCGCCGUACGCAGCUGCGGGCCCGCUGCCAGAGCAGGGGCACGGCGUGGAUGAGAGCGGGCAGAAAAGGGGGAAAAAUGCACCAGAGACUUUU
rnacentral:lncRNA from 1 species